UGGGGAAUAUUGGACAAUGGGCGAAAGCCUGAUCCAGCCAUGCCGCGUGUGUGAAGAAGGUCUUCGGAUUGUAAAGCACUUUAAGUUGGGAGGAAGGGCAGUAAGCGAAUACCUUGCUGUUUUGACGUUACCGACAGAAUAAGCACCGGCUAACUCUGUGCCAGCAGCCGCGGUAAUACAGAGGGUGCAAGCGUUAAUCGGAAUUACUGGGCGUAAAGCGCGCGUAGGUGGUUCGUUAAGUUGAAUGUGAAAGCCCCGGGCUCAACCUGGGAACUGCAUCCAAAACUGGCGAGCUAGAGUAGGGCAGAGGGUGGUGGAAUUACCUGUGUAGCGGUGAAAUGCGUAGAUAUAGGAAGGAACACCAGUGGCGAAGGCAGCCAUCUAGCCUAACACUGACGCUGAGGUACGAAAGCAUGGGGAGCAAACAGG
rnacentral:rRNA from 1 species